GACGAACGCUGGCGGCAUGCCUAAUACAUGCAAGUCGAGCGAAUGAAUGUUGGAGCUUGCUCCUUCAUUCGUUAGCGGCGGAUGGGUGAGUAACACGUGGGCAACCUGCCCUGCAGAUGGGGAUAACUCCGGGAAACCGGAGCUAAUACCGAAUAAUUAAUACGUUCGCAUGAACGUAUUCUAAAAGACGGUUUCGGCUGUCACUGCAGGAUGGGCCCGCGGCGCAUUAGCUAGUUGGUGGGAUAAUGGCCUACCAAGGCAACGAUGCGUAGCCGACCUGAGAGGGUGAUCGGCCACACUGGGACUGAGACACGGCCCAGACUCCUACGGGAGCAGCAGUAGGGAAUCUUGGACAAUGGCGCAAGCCUGAUCCAGCAAUGCCGCGUGGGUGAGAAGGUCUUCGAUUGUAAAGCCCUUUCGACGGGGACGAUGAUGACGGUACCCGUAGAAGAAGCCCGGCUAACUUCGUGCC
rnacentral:rRNA from 1 species